rfam:Chlamydiae bacterium SM23_39 WORSMTZ_32181, whole genome shotgun sequence.
GGGAGCUGUAUGAAUCGAGAGGUUCACGUACAGUUCUGAGAGAGGCUGUUGGGGAAGUGCCGAUGGCCUACUCACC